rnacentral:piRNA from 2 species
UAGGUGCUUGGUAAAAGAGAACUUCUUUCC